rnacentral:rRNA from 1 species
AACGAACGUUAGCGGCGCGCCUAACACAUGCAAGUCGCACGAGAAAGGGCUUCGGCCCCGGUAAAGUGGCGCACGGGUGAGUAACACGUGGGUAAUCUGCCUUCGAGCGGGGGAUAACAUUCCGAAAGGAGUGCUAAUACCGCAUAAGACCACGGCUCCGAAAGGAGCAGCGGUCAAAGCUGGCCUCUAUACAUAAGCUAGCACUUGAGGAUGAGCCCGCGGCGCAUCAGCUAGUUGGUGAGGUAAUGGCUCACCAAGGCGAAGACGCGUAGCUGGUCUGAGAGGAUGAUCAGCCACACUGGAACUGAGACACGGUCCAGACUCCGACGGGAGGCAGCAGUGGGGAAUCUUGCGCAAUGGGCGAAAGCCUGACGCAGCGACGCCGCGUGAGUGAUGAAGGCCUUCGGGUUGUAAAGCUCUGUGGGGAGAGAAGAAUAAGUGCGGGCUAAUACUCCGCAUGAUGACGGUAUCUCCUUAGCAAGCACCGGCUAACUCUGUGCCAGCCGCCGCGGUAAUAC